CCUACGGGUGGCAGCAGUGAGGAAUAUUGGUCAAUGGGCGAGAGCCUGAACCAGCCAAGCCGCGUGAAGGAUGAAGGAUCUAUGGUUUGUAAACUUCUUUUAUAUGGGAAUAAAGUGAGGUACGUGUUCCUUUUUGUAUGUACCGUAUGAAUAAGCAUCGGCUAACUCCGUGCCAGCAGCCGCGGUAAUACGGAGGAUGCGAGCGUUAUCCGGAUUUAUUGGGUUUAAAGGGUGCGUAGGUGGUUAGUUAAGUUAGCGGUGAAAGUCUGUGGCUCAACCAUGAAAUUGCCGUUGAAACUGGCUGACUUGAGUAUAUUUGAGGUAGGCGGAAUGCGUGGUGUAGCGGUGAAAUGCAUAGAUAUCACGCAGAACUCCGAUUGCGAAGGCAGCUUACUAAACUAUAACUGACGCUGAGGCACGAAAGCGUGGGGAGCAAACAGGAUUAGAUACCCCAGUAGUC
rnacentral:rRNA from 1 species